rnacentral:rRNA from 1 species
UACGUAGGUGGCAAGCGUUGUCCGGAUUUACUGGGCGUAAAGAGCGCGCAGGCGGUCGGAUAAGUCGAAUGUGAAGCCCCCGGCUCAACUGGGGAGGGUCACGCGAUACUGAUCGACUCGAAAGGCAGGAGAGGGAAGUGGAAUUCCCGGUGUAGUGGUGAAAUGCGUAGAUAUCAGGAGGAACACCAGUGGCGAAGGCGGCUUUCUGGACGGUAACUGACGCUGGAGAACGCGGAAAGCGUGGGGAGCAAACAGG